GUCCAGGAAAUGAAUAUUAGUUCAGCUUUAAAAAUACCAAUAAUAUAAACAAAUAUACUGUAUUUUUAAAAGUUAGUCUAAAAGGGUACAGCCUUUUAGAAACGGAUACAACCUUAACUAGAGAGUAAAACUUGACAAUACCAUAGUAGGCCCAAAAGCAGCCACCAAUUAAGAAAGCGUUAAAGCUCAACAAUAAAACUAUCUUAAUCCCAAUAACAAAUAAUUAACUCCUAGCCUUAAUACUGGACUAAUCUAUAAAAAUAGAAGCAAUAAUGUUAAUAUGAGUAACAAGAAGUACCUUCUCCCCGCACGAGUUUAAGUCAGUACCUGAUAAUAUUCUGACCAUUAACAGCAAAAUAAGAAUAACCUAACUAUAAAUAACUUACUUAUUGUACUGUUAAUCCAACACAGGAGUGCACUUAAGGAAAGAUUAAAAGAAGUAAAAGGAACUCGGCAAACACUAAACCCCGCCUGUUUACCAAAAACAUCACCUCCAGCAUAACUAGUAUUGGAGGCAUUGCCUGCCCAGUGACAACCGUUAAACGGCCGCGGUAUCCUGACCGUGCAAAGGUAGCAUAAUCAUUUGUUCUCUAAAUAAGGACUUGUAUGAAUGGCCAAACGAGGGUUUUACUGUCUCUUACUUCCAAUCAGUGAAAUUGACCUUCCCGUGAAGAGGCGGGAAUACCAUAAUAAGACGAGAAGACCCUAUGGAGCUUUAACUACUUAGUCCAAAGAAAUAAAUUUACUAACCAAGGAAACAACAAUACUCUUUAUGGACUAACAGCUUUGGUUGGGGUGACCUCGGAGAACAGAAAAUCCUCCGAGCGAUUUUAAAGACUAGACUCACAAGUCAAAUCACACAAUCGCUUAUUGAUCCAAAAAAUUGAUCAACGGAACAAGUUACCCUAGGGAUAACAGCGCAAUCCUAUUCAAGAGUUCAUAUCGACAAUAGGGUUUACGACCUCGAUGUUGGAUCAGGACACCCCGAUGGUGCAACCGCUAUCAAAGGUUCGUUUGUUCAACGAUUAAAG
rnacentral:rRNA from 1 species